rnacentral:misc_RNA from 1 species
UCCGGUUUGGCACCGGCAGUCUCCCUAGAGUUCCCGACAUGACUCGCUGGCAACUAAGGACAGGGGUUGCGCUCGUUGCGCCACUUAAGGCAACACCUCACGGCACGAGCUGACGACAGCCAUGCACCACCUGUGCAGGCUCCGAAGAGCGCCCGCUUUCACGGGUUUCACCCUGCAUGUCAAGCCCAGGUAAGGUUCUUCGCGUCGCAUCGAAUUAAGCAACAUGCUCCGCCGCUUGUGCGGGGCCCCGUCAAUUCCUUUGAGUUUUAGCCUUGCGGCCGUACUCCCCAGGCGGGGUGCUUAAUGCGUUAGCUUCGGCACGGACGGGGUUGAUAUCCGCCCACACCUAGCAUCCACCGUUUAGGGCGUGGACUAC